rnacentral:rRNA from 1 species
UGACCUACGGGAGGCAGCAGUAGGGAAUCUUCCACAAUGGACGAAAGUCUGAUGGGGCAACGCCGCGUGAGUGAAGAAGGGUUUCGGCUCGUAAAGCUCCGUUGGUAGUGAAGAAAGAUAGAGGUAGUAACUGGCCUUUAUUUGACGGUAAUUACUUAGGAAGUCACGGCUAACUACGUGCCAGCAGCCGCGGUAAUACGUAGGUGGCAAGCGUUGUCCGGAUUUAUUGGGCGUAAAGCGAGUGCAGGCGGUUCAAUAAGGCUGAUGUGAAAGCCUUCGGGUCAACCGGAGAAUUUCAUCAGAAA